rnacentral:rRNA from 1 species
UACAGAGGGUGCAAGCGUUAAUCGGAAUUACUGGGCGUAAAGCGUGCGCAGGCGGCUUUGCAAGACAGAUGUGAAAUCCCCGGGCUUAACAUGGGAACUGCAUUUGUGACUGCAUGGCUGGAGUGCGGCAGAGGGGGAUGGAAUUCCGCGUGUAGCAGUGAAAUGCGUAGAUAUGCGGAGGAACACCGAUGGCGAAGGCAAUCCCCUGGGCCUGCACUGACGCUCAUGCACGAAAGCGUGGGGAGCAAACAGG